rnacentral:misc_RNA from 1 species
GAUGAAGAACGUAGCGAAAUGCGAUAAGUAGUGUGAAUUGCAGAAUUCAGUGAAUCAUCGAAUCUUUGAACGCACAUUGCGCCCUUUGGUAUUCCUUAGGGCAUUCCUGUUCGAGCGUCAUUUGAAACCUCAAGCUCAGCUUGGUGUUGGGUGUCUGUCCCCGCCUCCGCGGGGACUCGCCUCAAAAUCAUUGGCGGCCGGUACGUUGGCUUCGAGCGCAGCAGAAACGCGAACUCGAGGCCCGGCGGAUCGGCGACCAGAAGUCUCUUCUUCACAGUUUGACCUCGGAUCAGGUAGGGAUACCCGCUGAACUUAAGCAUAUCAAUAAGCGGAGGA